rnacentral:rRNA from 1 species
ACGGAGGGGGCAAGCGUUAUUCGGAAUCACUGGGCGUAAAGCGCGCGUAGGCGGUUUGAUAAGUGUCAGGUGAAAUCCCACGGCUUAACCGUGGAACUGCCUUGAAAACUGUCAGUCUUGAGUCUGGGAGGGGAGGGUGGAAUUCCUGGUGUAGGGGUGAAAUGCGUAGAUAUCAGGAGGAAUACCGAUGGCGAAGGCGACUUUCUGGACCAGUACUGACGCUGAGGCGCGAAAGCGUGGGGAGCAAACAG